rnacentral:misc_RNA from 1 species
UUCCAAACCAAACCUAAUUGAUCUAUAUCAAAAUCUUAUGAAAUGCAAAUCGAUAGUAGAAUUGAAUCAAACCGAAUCAAAUUAGUUCAAUUCGGUUUAAUUCAUCAUUUUUUUAAUCGAACCAAAAAUCACAAAACGAUGUUGUUUCAAUGGGUGUGUCAAUUGUUGAACAAAACCAAAUAAUCACAAUCCAUUAAAACUUAGACCAAAUGACAAAGGAAUCAUUGAGAGAGGGAGGGAGGCUCGACGAUGUUGACGAGACAGAGCAAGGGGCAGAGGUGAGAUAGAGCAAGCAAACGAGGGUGAGACAGAUAGAGAGCGAGGGUGAAGGAGGCUUGGCAUUGACGAGACAGAUAGAGACAGUG